UCUUUGCUAGUAUAUCGGUUAGUACACGCGCCUGUCAUCAGACAAUGACAUAUCGCGCGAAAGCUGGGUUCGACUCCCAGGCAGAGAG